rnacentral:rRNA from 1 species
UACAGAGGUGGCAAGCGUUUGUUCGGAAUUACUGGGCGUAAAGGGCGCGUAGGCGGCCAUCUAAGUCAGACGUGAAAUCCCUCAGCUUAACUGGGGAACUGCGUCUGAUACUGGAUGGCUUGGAUCCGGGAGAGGGAUGCGGAAUUCCAGGUGUAGCGGUGAAAUGCGUAGAUAUCUGGAGGAACACCGGUGGCGAAGGCGGCAUCCUGGACCGGUAUUGACGCUGAGGAGCGAAAGCCAGGGGAGCAAACGGG